rnacentral:rRNA from 1 species
CGAGGGGCAGCAUGGUCUUAGCUUGCUAAGGCUGAUGGCGACCGGCGCACGGGUGAGUAACACGUAUCCAACCUGCCGUCUACUCUUGGCCAGCCUUCUGAAAGGAAGAUUAAUCCAGGAUGGGAUCAUGAGUUCACAUGUCCGCAUGAUUAAAGGUAUUUUCCGGUAGACGAUGGGGAUGCGUUCCAUUAGAUAGUAGGCGGGGUAACGGCCCACCUAGUCAACGAUGGAUAGGGGUUCUGAGAGGAAGGUCCCCCACAUUGGAACUGAGACACGGUCCAAACUCCUACGGGAGGCAGCAGUGAGGAAUAUUGGUCAAUGGGCGAUGGCCUGAACCAGCCAAGUAGCGUGAAGGAUGACUGCCCUAUGGGUUGUAAACUUCUUUUAUAAAGGAAUAAAGUCGGGUAUGCAUACCCGUUUGCAUGUACUUUAUGAAUAAGGAUCGGCUAACUCCGUGCCAGCAGCCGCGGUAAUACGGAGGAUCCGAGCGUUAUCCGGAUUUAUUGGGUUUAAAGGGAGCGUAGAUGGAUGUUUAAGUCAGUUGUGAAAGUUUGCGGCUCAACCGUAAAAUUGCAGUUGAUACUGGAUGUCUUGAGUGCAGUUGAGGCAGGCGGAAUUCGUGGUGUAGCGGUGAAAUGCUUAGAUAUCACGAAGAACUCCGAUUGCGAAGGCAGCCUGCUAAGCUGCAACU